rnacentral:lncRNA from 1 species
CUGUAAUUUUCGAAGAUGCUCCAACAAUGAAGUAGCCUUCCGCUUGGCCCUUUCUGUGCCACUCUUGGUGAGCUCCGUCAAUGGUAUGGCAGCACCUAGCCUACUAAUGCAUGCCAGAUUCUCAGCAUCUCUCUUACACAAACAAAGUAAAAUGGCAGCAGCAUUUUCUUUGUUUCUAGGUAAACAUGUUCUCAGAAGAUCGAUCAAAACAGGUAUGGUGCUAGCCUUUACUAUAGCUGCCUU